GCGGUUACCGUGGAAACCGCGGCCAUGGCGGCACCGCGGCAAAUCCCCAGCCACAUAGUGCGCCGCAAGCCCAGCUGCUCUACAAACUCGUCGUUCACCCGGACGCCGGUGCCCACCGUGUCUCUCGCGUCCCGCGAGCUGCCUGUCUCGUCGUGGCAGGUCGCCGAGCCGUCGAGCAAGAAUCUGUGGGAGCAGAUCUGCAAGGAGUAUGAAGCUGAGCAGCCUCCCUUUCCAGAAGGAUAUAAAGUCAAACAGGAGCCUGUGAUUACAGUUGCGCCGGUAGAGGAAAUGCUUUUUCAUGGCUUCAGUGCAGAGCACUAUUUUCCAGUUUCCCAUUUCACCAUGAUCUCACAUACACCCUGUCCUCAAGAUAAAUCGGAAACAAUCAACCCAAAAACAUAGGAAAAGAACCAAAUUCAUUGCCUGUGAUUUUCUGACCGAGUGGUUAUACAAGUAAGUUGUUCGUGUCUGACUAUUCAGUGAUCCUAAGAAUUCAGUCGUAUUAAUUUGCAAGCAGAAUAGCAACAACUGACUUGAAUUCUUGCUUAUUGUUUUCUUGUCAAUCAAACAUAUGGCAUCAUGACCAGCCAAAAUCCAAAGAGGGCAGGGGAGCCAUUCACAGAAUUUUUCUCCAUUCCAUUUGUGGAGGAGCGGCUAAAGCAACACCCACGGCCGCCAAUCCCACUCUCGCUCCUGCUGACAGAAGAGGAAGCAGCCCUCUACAUUCAAUCCUUCUGGAGAGCCUGUGUGGUUCGCCGUGAUCCUGAGAUUCAAGAACUGCGUCAGUGGCAGAAGAAACUUCGCGAGGCCAAGCACAUUCACCAGCGAGUCAAAAUUUUCUGGGCCAAGCAAGAACAAAAAGUGAAAUGCAAAAUGGAGGACGAUGCAGUACCUGCAGCCAAGAUGAAAAUUCCAUCAUCUUAACCAUAGCUAAGACGUAUCUUUGCCCAUUCGAGCACAAGUUACCUUGUGCAAGGAAAAUGUCCAAAUGAUGCUCUCUCUCUUGUGAUUUCUUUAACAAGACUUGGAACAUGUGAAAAUGGAAUCUUUUCUGUACAAGAUAGGAUUCGUUGCAAACAAGCUUUAAUGCAAAUAGUUUAGAAAAGAAAGGACCAGUCUUCACUUUCUGCAUUAUCCCCACAUUUUAUUCAUUCAUCCAGAUUACUUCUUCAGUGCCUCAGGCGUAUUCUUCUACACCAGCUGCUGUUAAAAUGUACAAUGAACUCUAGUCCCAAGGAAUACAGAAGUGCUCUUAUUACCAGUUUUCCCACUUGUGGCCGCCUUUGCAAAGAUCCAUAUUCUAAUUUAAGUCCCCAACCUCUGAAUUUGGUUUUAAGUUUACCUAGUGACUGACUACUCUCUUUAUAAAAAAGACCUUAUACUUAAUGAUCAUUUCCAAAGGAGACCACUCCUUAACUUUUACUGCAAACCCAACAAGAUGAGACACUUAAACCCAGACAGAUGUAACAAAGGAUUUUUGUUGUCUAAGUCCCAAAGUAUUAUAUAGAAAGUUCCUGCUUUUAUGGGUAAACUUAUUACCUUAAUAUGUUCUGUGGUUUGCUGUUAACCAAGAUUCUCCCAUUUAAAAUGCCACAGACCGACCCUCAAGGCAGAUCCGAAAGCCUAGUAGUUAGUUGCAUUGGGUUGUUUUGACAAGCUACCACACAUCUUAAGUAAAUAGUAAAGCCUUUAUUUUUGUGUUAAGAACAGCAUUUUGAAAAUAAAACCUAUCUGCCCAUGCUUUACAACCUUUUAAAUUUGUAAUAUUUAUAUAGUCGUUUAUGGUACAUAUUGAUUGUCUUGAAAUUUCUUUAACUUCUUUUUUAUAAGUAUGCAACAGUCAGCCGGGGGAAGAUAAAGGUACAUUAUAAAACACACAUUAAUGCAUUUAAUAAAUAUAUAUUAUCUAUCAAAA
rnacentral:sRNA from 1 species